rnacentral:lncRNA from 1 species
AGAUAAAAGAGGCAAAGGCUUUUCAAGCUGAAGAAGAAGAAGAAUCUGAAGAAGAUUGUGAUGAAAAAGAUGAGAUUUUUCUUCUUUCUAGAAGAGUCAAUCAACUUUAGAGAAAGAGACAAAAGCAGCAUAGAGGAAUCAAAAGAACAUGCGGAUGCUAUGAGUCAACAUUUGGACAAAAGAAGUAUGUUGCUGACAAAGAUGUCAUCUAUUUCGAAUGCAAGGAGCCAG